UGAGGAAUAUUGGUCAAUGGGCGAGAGCCUGAACCAGCCAAGUAGCGUGCAGGAUGACGGCCCUAUGGGUUGUAAACUGCUUUUAUGGGGGGAUAAAGUGCGUGACGUGUCAUGCAUUGCAGGUACCACAUGAAUAAGGACCGGCUAAUUCCGUGCCAGCAGCCGCGGUAAUACGGAAGGUCCGGGCGUUAUCCGGAUUUAUUGGGUUUAAAGGGAGCGUAGGCUGUCUAUUAAGCGUGUUGUGAAAUAUACCGGCUCAACCGGUGGCUUGCAGCGCGGACUGGUCGACUUGAGUAUGCAAGAAGUAGGCGGAAUUCAUGGUGUAGCGGUGAAAUGCUUAGAUGUCAUGACGAACUCCGAUUGCGCAGGCAGCUUACUGUAGCAUAACUGACGCUGAUGCUCGAAAGUGCGGGUAUCAAACAGG
rnacentral:rRNA from 1 species